rnacentral:lncRNA from 1 species
UCAGUCCGACGCUGAAACUCCGCGAGACCGAUCGCGCUGUUCCUUUCAGCCCUCUUCGUGUCGUCGGCGUGCUCCCGGUCCCUGAACUUGUCCCGGCAACGUGAUCCCUCGAUCCGAUCCCUGUAGGCGAACUGUCUCUAACGUGGUGACGCAUGACAGUCAAGUGCGAGGAUUUUGUCAAUUCACACGAGUUAAGCCAAGUGUAAAUCUGUUUUCUCGGUGCGCGCUGAUGAAGUCGCGUGUAUUUCUUUAUAUGUGUCGAUUUUCUCGAUCCGCGGGUGUAAAGUCACGUGUGUUUUUUCAGUCCUGAAUGCGUGUAUUUCUUUUUGGAAGAUUAUCGGAUUCUCUCAAUUUUCACUAAGGGAGCCGCGUGUUUUUCCUUUUGGGUACUCAGAUUUUCUCUCUCUGCACUAAUUUGUUUCAAAUCGAGUUCGCUCCGAGCGCCAAUAAAAUAACUCAGCCGAGUGAUUUUUGUUAGUUUCAGGUGUUAUCGUGUGAGGUUUGUACCUGGACCUGAUUGGAUUACCAAAAAAAAAAAAGAAUUGUGGAAACUGGAUUCUCGAAUUGCCUGACGGUCUCCGCGUGAUGGAACUUCCCCCGGGUGACGGACAUCCACUCCAAGACGACCCAUCUUCGGCCGUGAGCAAACUGGACUCCUCCCGCGAGUAAAGGCGGCAAUCGGGGGGCAUGCGGACGUGCCAGACGGCGUGGGACGAGCGAUGCGCGUGUCGCGGCGCGCUCGAUGGUGGCGCCGGGCGCUGAGCCGGGCGGGCGGCGAGUGCGUUGCGGGAGUCGGGCGUCGGCGCGCGCCCUCUGGCGGCAUGCGAAGGAAGCGGACGCCGGUUUCGUGAGCGAUGUCGGGCUAGGACUCGGCCGUCCUAUGGGGAAGCUCAACCUGGGCGCCGGAAGCAUAGUCGUCUGUUUUCUCGUCGGCUUCGUCUUGGGGCUCGCCAAGAGAGCUUCGCGCUCCGUCGAGCCUCGCUCCGCUGUCGUCUUCCUCUACCAUGAGCAGUGCUCACAGCAGCCGCGCUCCCCAUUCAACCUAAGUGAAAUCCUCGCUGCCGAGAUGAAGGACGUCCAGUUCAGGACUGUUCCCAAGUCAGAAAUGUGCAAUUCGACAUCGAGCAGGCUGCCGCUUUUUGAACGCUGUCAAGGACCCUAAACUAGGGUCAUAGUCGGCUCCCUUGAUUCCCCACUUUGUGGUCUCGCGCGGUCUUUUACGGAACUACACAACGUCUCCUUUGUCACUUGGAGCUGUCCUGAGUAGAUUUUCUUAAUUUCAUUUUCAUUCACCAUUUUCUCAAAACAGUGGACAUGCGGGUUAAACCUAGAACCCCUAUGUAGAAAAAGCUGUAACAUUUUAAUGU